rnacentral:lncRNA from 1 species
UGGGAGUAGUAGGAAGCAACCACUAAAUUCGAAUAGCCUUUUCUCUAUUUGAUAAAGAGAGAGGGAUUCCUUGUGGUACUACAUGGCUUGGUUUAAUGCAAUGACAUUGGAGAUCUGCAACCCUAAAAUGUUAGCCAUGAUAUUAGCACUAAAAAGGAGACUUUGGAGUACAUCGAAGGACUACAUUGAUCUCCUCACGAAAACACAAAAAUAUGUGUGAGCCAAGGAAGUGGCAACUGAGC